rnacentral:rRNA from 1 species
GACGAACGCUGGCGGCGUGCUUAACACAUGCAAGUCGAACGAAGUGGCGAACGGGUGAGUAACGCGUAAUCAACCUGCCCUUCAGCGGGGUACAACAGUUGGAAACGACUGCUAAUACCGCAUACUGAAGGAGGGGAUUGCGUCUGAUUAGGUAGUUGGAGGGGUAACGGCCCACCAAGGCGAUGAUCAGUUUCCGUGCUGAGAGGAUGAACGGCAACAUUGGGACAGAGACACGGCCCAGAACCCUACGGGAGGCAGCAGGGGGGAAUCUUCAGCAAUGGACGAAAGUCUGACGGAGCAACGCCGCGUGAGUGAUGACGGCCUUCGGGUUGUAAAGCUCUGUUAAUCGGGACGCGGUACCGGAAUAGAAAGCCACGGCUAACUACGUGCCAGCAGCCGCGGUAAUUC